ACAUACUCUCAACUGAUGGCAAAGGAAGACACGAAAGCGAAGGGGCGUCUCGAACGAUGGGCGACUACGACGAGGGGGAAGUUAGCAGUGCCAUGGCGGCCCCUUGGCUUGGCUCAAAGAACGCCACAUCCGCCUCUUCCCACGGUCACUGACGAAAAGACCCCCGACAGGAGGAAGAAGGAGGAGCCCUCUCCCUCAUGAAAUGCUUCCUGCUAGUACGAUUUUGUCAAGGUUGAUUAAUCUCACAUCGGACCGGAAAAAAACAGGAAAGAAAAAGAAAAGCGACAUUUUGGUGAUUUAAUUUUUAAUUAUUGAUUCCAGUUUUCUAGAGUUUGAUGGUUAAUUGUUGCCGUCGGCUAGGUGAAAGUGUGGCUCCGGGGCAAUGCGGAUCACUAAUACGUUUUCUCCAAAUUUCUUCUUUGAAGAUGUCUUAACUCAUCCGACCUUCCGGUGAAGAUUAAUAAACGCAGUAGAUGAUCAUGUAGGCAAAACCUGACGACAUGCACCCUAAACUCAAGCCCGACACACUGUUCUGGGAUCCCUAUCAAAGGUACAGGUGGGAUCAACUCAAUUAAGGCGUGGAUGUAAUGGUGCAGAAUGUGUGUCGGCAGGGUUUGCCUGUAUUGAUAUAUAGCAUGUGGCAUUAGUCAUGUCCUAAAAUUACCAUGCUUGGCCUUCCUGUAACCUGUGAAAUCUAGCAAGCUGCAGAUUUCUGGUAGUGCUCAGUGAUUCCAAUUUACUUGCCUGCUAAAACAUUUCAUUGUUUAUUUUCAUGUAAAAGAUGCCAAGAUUUGGUUAUGCCUUGACCGAGUUUUUUCUUCUUGGGUUAAGUUCAGCGGUUAACUCUCGCCUGUAUCAUUUCUCUUUGGAUACUCAAAUAAUGCCCAAAAUAUCUCUAACCAACCUUAAUGAUAUUUAUAUUUAUUUUUUUCAUUAGUCUUUUUUAUCGUUUUGAACUAUUAAAGUGUUUUCAUUUGGCUCAUUUAUAGAGGUUUUCAAUAGUAUUAUAGUGUUUUUAUUAAAGUGUUGAAAACACCGGAAAGUUAUUGAAGAACACUGUAAAUAAUAUCAUAUUAUGUCUAUUUAGUUGUCAUUACUCGUAGAUCAUUACAGUAUCAUAUAUUUAGUUUUGUAGUUGGUUUGGUUGAGAUUAGUAUCAUUUAUAGUGUUUUCAAGUAUGUGUUUUUAUCGUAACGAUCAAAACAUAGGUCAGUUUUUUUAUCCCUAUUUAGGUGAUAUUUUAAAACUAUUAUAAAUAUCUAUUUGAUUGCAAGUAUGAUAUAUCAAAUAUUUUCUAGUGUGUAUUGAUUUCAUUUGGCUCACUUGUGUUUUUCAAUAGCAUCAUACAGUUUUUACUAUGGUGCUGAAAACACUUUUAAGCCAUUGAAAAAUAUUGUAAAUGAUAUCAUAUUACAUAUCUUUGGUUAUCAUCACUCAUAGAUCAUUACGGUACUAAAUUUUAGGCUUGAAGUUUGUGUGAUUGAGAUUACAAGUUUAUUUAUCAUUUAUAUUAUUUUUUAAGUAAGUUUUUAUAAUAUUUUUUAUUGUGAUGGUUAAAACACUGCAAUAGGCCAAAACAUUAUAAUAGAUCAAAACCCUAUAAUGGACAAGGAAAAAUAUUAUUGGGGUUGAUGAUGGAUAUUUUGAAUAUUACUUUAGACAGAGAAAAACGAAAGCAAACGAUACCUUUUGGGAAUAAAAAAUAAAAAUGAUAUUUUUUUUCAAAAAAGUCACCCCUCAAAAACAUCCAAAGAGAGUCCUAAUUUGAACUUUUCAAGAUGAUAAAAAUACCUUGCUGACAACUUGACAAUGUUAAUUUGUGAUUUAUUUUUUUUUAUCAAAAUCAAAGUAAAUCAAACCAAUCAUGUUGAUCCAAAUAAGUUAAAUAGAACUAUAGUGCCUUUGAUUGAAACGAUUUGGGUUAAAUACAAUUUCCAAAAACACUCCACCUUGUUGUAAAUAUUAUAGUUCGAUUUUAAUUAGUUUAAAUUUCUACCAACAAUAAUUAUCAAUUAUUUGAUAAAAUUUUAUAACAUUUAUCAUCAUCUAUCGUGAAAGUAUGAUAAUAAAAAAUAAGACAUUAUUCACUGAAUCGAAAACACUAUAAUUUUAUUAAAUUGUUAUUAUCGGUCUGGUUCAAUGUGGGAUCAGCUGAGCUAAAAAUCUGAUUCAGUUCAAAGUAGAUUCGGUAGAAACUUUUUAUUUUCUACAAUAAAGGCAUUUUGGUAUUUUUGCAAAGGGAAAGGAAAUACAGUAAUGGAAGUUGUGAUCCUGCAAAAAUGAGCUUUUUAUAGGGAAAUCACAUAUGUUAGGAAACUGAUUCACGAAACUCAAACAAUCUGAAUUCUGCAUGAAAUUUGUAUUCAUGGAAGCUGCUUGGCAGGGGCGGAGUCACAAGUCACAAAUUUGGUCGUUGUUGUCCCAAUGCUUUCUUUUAUUCGAUUGCUGUCACUUAUUGUGCAGCUUCAUCAGUAUCCAAUCACCUACCAUUUGGAUGGAGGUGACGGGGAUUCCGAUCGUUCAAUCCAUGGCGCCCAGGCGGCAUAGCAAAAGGAUUAAGAUUGAUGUAGCUUAUAAUCUGAACGUGGUAUCAGCAGACAUCGUUGCCGUCCAGAAGCUCUGGCCUGUUGGCAGCGGCAACCGCAGAGGCGGGCGGUUGGUUCUUGUGAUGGCGGAGGAGGAGCUCCUUCUGGCGGCGGAUCUCCAUGACCUUGCGAUGGGAGUUGGAGUGCUGGGUGAACACGAAGGCUGGACUGGCCACCGGUCGGUACUCCGGUAGGAGCCGCCCGGACUUGUACCUCACCCCGCACGCGUUGCACAGCGUCUUCGGCCCCAGUGGCCCCGUCCGCCACUGCGGCGUCUUCUCCGAUGCGCAGUGCAUGCACCGUCGCACUCCGCCCUCCGCUCCGACGCCCCAUCCGCUUUUCUUUCCUCUACUACCGCCAUUACUGCCGCCGCCUCUGCUGCUAAUACACUUAAUACCGAUGGAAUCAGGUUGGGAAGGUGGGAAAUCAGAAGAGGACGAGGACGAGGACGACGGCGAGGACUGCGGUGGUGGCGUUAACGAGGACCAAACCGUGGUAGGAUUGCUGCUCCUGGACCGCUUGCUUCUCGCUGCGUAACGUGCAACGCAUUGGUCCACGCCUAGCUGGUUGUCACCGGCAAUGCGUUGGUCCACUAAGAGCUGCUUGUCGCUGGCGGGGGUGGUAAGGCCGGUGUACUGGUAAGGGACGUCAGAGAAAGAGUCCUCCACGAACUGCGACAGCCAUUCCAGCUCCGCCGCCUCCUCGCUCUGCAGGAGAGGAGAAACAAAUCCAGACACAACGAAAGAGAACAGAAAGAAGUCGACUGGGUGUUCUUCGUGGACGUGCUCACCGGAACGUAGAGGUCGAAAGAUGAGUCUGUUUCUGCAGUUCCACCGGCAGUAAAGAAGUGGGUGUCAGCACCAAAAGCUGAGGGGAAGAGAUCGCGGCCGGAGAAGUCGAGGACGUCGGUGACGCGGAGAGCGUCAACGGCGGGUGGAAGGCCGUAAGGAUAAGCUGGAGCAGCAGCAUCUUGCUGCGGUGCAACAGUAGCUAAUGAAGCAGAGUAGGAGGAAGCUGGCGUUUUCAUUCCGAAGUCCAUAUCCAGCGUCAUCGCUUGCUUCCGCGCCAUUCAUGCCAGCAAAAAGAGGAGAAUUCCCUUCUCUCCUACAGCAACAAGCGACGAGAAAUAGUGAAGCUGGUUGUGGUAGCGAAACACAACUUGCGGGGGAAGCAAUAAAGCACUUGCAUUAUGGAACACACCGACGCCAACGUGGAUUAAUACGACUUCCUCUCAUGACAAACGAGAGCAACAUGGGAUAAUAGUACAUGUAUACAUAUAGUUCGCUCUCUUCGAGACAAAUGUACAUAUUACCACCGUCAACCCUCUUUACCUGUGUCCGCUGGAACACUUGUCCCAAAGAGGAUGACGUGGUUCA